CCACAGGAGGGUCUUGAUUCUGACCCCGGCUGCUUUGGGUAGCCACUACAGCCAGUGAGAGGCUCCCUCAUUUACUGAAAGAGCAAAGACCCCAAACCACCCAUAGGUGGUGACUGACUCCUCUGAAAUCCUUUCUGCAGUGUACCUGGUUCUAAGAAAGUAUCACUUAGGAAAUGCUUCUGGAGAAACCUCGUGAAGACCCUUUGUUCCAAAGGAAGGACCAGUCACGCUGUGGCCCCGGGUUAUGGCAGCAGCAUCCACCUGGGACGGCGGGAACCACUAGCAGAAACAGUGUCCACAUCGGCCAAAUGUAUUUGACUGACAAGAUUAUCAUUGAGAAUCAAGAGAAGCCUAGGACCUAGGGGGCCGGGACCAGCCACCACCAACAGCCGUGGACCAGCUUCAGCAUCCAUUCUGCGCUUGGGGUGGGGGCUCCCCCCAGACCACAAGUGGCCUCUUCCAUCAGCUUAGCAUAGCCUCUUGCUUGGCCUGCCCUGUAGGAGCUGAUAAACUGAGUCUGGUUUCCAUUCUUCUGCAGCCUUAGUGGAAAAGGGUGGCUGGCUCUCCUUGAUUCAAGUGUCCGAGUGAAGAGCUGGAGCUGGCUCAGAAUAAUGCUGUGUAUUAUUGCGUCUCCUCUCGACCCCACUCCUCUUUUGUAUCUCACCACCACUUGUAUAGAGCUCCUCCACCCUCUGUCUCUUCGUUGACAAUAAACAGAAUUGUCUCCCGAAGCCUU